rnacentral:rRNA from 1 species
GACGUAGGGGGCAAGCGUUGUUCGGAAUUACUGGGCGUAAAGAGUGUGUAGGCGGUGCUCUAAGUUCGGUGUGAAAUCUCCCGGCUUAACUGGGAGGGUGCGCCGGAAACUGGAGUGCUCGAGCGUGGGAGAGGAAAGCGGAAUUCCUGGUGUAGCGGUGAAAUGCGUAGAUAUCAGGAGGAACACCUGCGGUGUAGACGGCUUUCUGGACCAUUGCUGACGCUGAGACACGAAAGCGUGGGUAGCAAACAGG